UCCAAUAGCCGAAAAGUGAAUAUACAGUCAGGAAUACUGUAGAUGUGAAACAUAAAUCACGAAACAGAAUAUGCCUGGCUGGCGAUGCGUCAGCAGAACACGUGAUUGUCGACCAGUGCUGCUUCAUGCGGGCCAGAGAUCCAUGUGCACAGGGGUGGACUAGGUAACCUUCAUGAUCACGUGCCUGCGAAAGUGCUGCCAUCUGAAUAUGGCGGAGAAGCAGGUUCCAUCCUUCCUAUGUGGAAUGAGUGGAAAGUGAGGGCUAUUAGCCAUCGGGACAUGGUCAUGCAACACGAUCAUAUAAAGUCACAAGAGAAUAAGGGGCCAGAGAAAUAAUACAGCUCACCGUAUGGAGUUAUU